ensembl:lncRNA
AUUCGCACUGUUGACCCGACGUCACAAUCGGUGGGGGUUAUAAAAAUCCCCUGAAUUUAUACUGCAGUCAUUCGCAGUGAGAAAAGCCGUAGACAAAGCAGUCACACCGUAGAUAAUUGGAACAGAGACAGCCAACAAAAUGACGACCGUUUACAUUGGAUUCCUUCUCCUUGCCAUGCUUUUUUCAUCACAGGUCCAUGCGCAGAACACUACCACACAGUCCCUUCCUACGAAUGUGACCAAAGCUGACUUCACGAAUUCCUCGAUGCUCAACGUCAGUACCACGAACGUCAGUACCACGAACGUCAGUACCACGAACGUCAGUACCACGAACGUCAGUACCACGAACGUCAGUACCACGAACGUCAGUACCACGAACGUCAGUACCACGAAUGUCUCCAUUCCUCAAGGAGCCAGUGUGACCUUGCAGUCCAGUGCAUUCACGCUCCUCAUCCCUGUGGUGGGCUCGCUCCUACAGGGCUGCUUCUAGAGGGUUCAUCUGCACUGAACAAAAGCCAAGACUAACAUCGGCAGCCUAGAUGUGCAAAUGUUUUACAAAGAGCACAUUAAUUCUCGGAAGGUAGACAUUUGCGCACCUAAGCUGCGGGAUUCGGCGGCAUGGGCAAAAACACUACUUUGUGCUCGCACCUCCUGGCUGCUUCAAACCGUAGGCCUACACUCUGCUCACUGGCCCCAAGGCCAUGGCCUGGCAACAAGCUGUCUCACUGCAGAAUGGGACAUUUGUCCAUAUACCUUUUUGAGGUUUAGGCAUUAAUUCACAAAUGGGUAAGGAUAGUUAACGUGGUCGGUAAGGAUAGUUAACGUGGUCGGUUAGGUGACUUUGUGUGCCAGGUUAGGAGAAUGAGGUAAAGUGUUAGCUUUAGAUACUGUUGUCCCCAACGUGAACUACAUGGCCACGGACCAGUGGUGCGCGUCAAAGUGCGUUUCUUAAUCAAGUUACGCCCCUACUCCUUUGCUUCACUUGGUCCCACUGUUCCUGAUUUCAGACAGCAGAGUUUAUCUUGUGUACAUUUUGGCUGUGCCUGGGGAAAUCAGCAACUGUUUGAGGUGCAUUGGAAAAUAACAGCCUAUAUUUGUCUGAUCUGUGGCACUUAUGUCCUUAACAGUGCUAUUCUUAAUCCUGCAACUGCAAUGGAUACUUUGUCAGAGGCUUGAUGUAGCCUACACUUGUGAUGAACUUAUUGCAUUUUAUAUUGUAAACAUGUGACUUAUGUAAGUCAGUGAUGCUUUUAGAUCUCUUUAUGUCAGGUUCAAUAAAGCUUUGAAAUGUGUUUGUCAUGAUUAAUAUUUAAUGUCCUUGUACAAUAAAAUAUGACAUUUAAUAUAACUAACUUAUCCUGUCAAUUCCAAAGCUUGGCAUUCAUUGGCUUUUCUUGUCUGUCUUACAAAUCCAAUGCUGCAGGUCUUUCUCAAAUGACUGGUUAACAAUUGUGCCUUACAGAGUUUUCUAUUGCUGCUUAGCAAAGGGCAAUUUUUGCUAGAACUGUUGGGGGAAAAUCUGUUAAUGGGUCACCAUAGAAAUCCAUGCUGUCUUCAAAUGGCACUUACACCAACUUCUGUGGCAAGGCCUAACAUUAAGUAUUCAGACCCCUUGACUUAAACAAGUUAGACUUAUAAAAUUCAUUAAAUAUUUUGGAUACUCUACACUACACUUGGUUUGACUGUC